rnacentral:tRNA from 2 species
UGCCUUAUAGCUCAAUUGGGAGAGCAAGCGGCUGUUAACCGCUAGGUUGUAGGUUCGACCCCUACUGAGGCAGCCA